UGGGGAAUCUUGGACAAUGGGCGCAAGCCUGAUCCAGCCAUGCCGCGUGAGUGAAGAAGGCCUUAGGGUUGUAAAACUCUUUCGCCGGUGAAGAUAAUGACUGUAGCCGGAGAAGAAGCCCCGGCUAACUUCGUGCCAGCAGCCGCGGUAAUACGAAGGGGGCUAGCGUUGUUCGGAAUUACUGGGCGUAAAGCGCACGUAGGCGGAUCUGUAAGUUGGGGGUGAAAGCCCAGGGCUCAACCCUGGAAUUGCCUUCAAGACUGCAGGUCUUGAGGUCAGGAGAGGCGAGUGGAAUUCCGAGUGUAGAGGUGAAAUUCGUAGAUAUUCGGAGGAACACCAGUGGCGAAGGCGACUCGCUGGACUGAUACUGACGCUGAGGUGCGAAAGCGUGGGGAGCAAACAGG
rnacentral:rRNA from 1 species